rnacentral:rRNA from 1 species
UGGGGAAUCUUCCGCAAUGGACGAAAGUCUGACGGAGCAACGCCGCGUGUAUGACGAAGGCCUUCGGGUUGUAAAGUACUGUCUUUAGGGACGAACGGUAUCUAUGUAAAUAAUGCAGAUACAUGACGGUACCCAAGGAGGAAGCCCCGGCUAACUACGUGCCAGCAGCCGCAGUAAUACGUAGGGGGCGAGCGUUGUCCGGAAUCAUUGGGCGUAAAGGGCGCGUAGGCGGGUCAUUAAGUCUGGUGUGAAAGGCAGGGGCUCAACCCCUGGAAGGCACCGGAACUGGUUAUCUUGAGGACAGGAGAGGAAAGCGGAAUUCCACGUGUAGCGGUGAAAUGCGUAGAUAUGUGGAGGAACACCAGUGGCGAAGGCGGCUUUCUGGACUGUAACUGACGCUGAGGCGCGAAAGCGUGGGGAGCAAACAGGAUUAGAUACCCUGGUAGUCCACGCCGUAAACGAUGAGUGCUAGGUGUAGA